UUUUAAAAAAAAAUAAUUAAAAGAUGUAUUAGAAAUGUAAAAUAAUUCACUGCGAAACGUCAAUUUCUAAAGAACUCCUCAUCGAGGUUUAAUAAUAUUUUUUUAGUAUAAAUUACAUUAGAACCCAUUGAGAUACAAUCCUGUUCAACUAAUAUUAACUAGCAAGGCCUUAAUUACAUGUUCCAUAUUUUUUUGGAAAGAUUGUACAUAAUGGCAAACUAUUAAUUCAAAUUAAAUGGUAUAAUCACACUUUAAUUUAAUUGUGUCUUGUAGCAAACUGUUUGCUAGCGCCUCUCUCCCUCAAACUCUCGCUCGCCACUCUCCUCUCUCGCUCACUCCCUCUGUGCCCGCCUCUCUCGCUUUAUACAACAAAAUUGUAUAAAUUGCGUUUCUGUUUGUAUAAAGUGAGAGAAAAUUGUAUAUACACAUGCAAAUACAUAUAUAUUCGUCCUAUACACUUAUAAUUAUACAAUAAAAAUAUUCCCCUGCCCAGUUCUCUUUUGCCUUUCUCUCUUUCUCGUUUUAUACAACAAAAUUGUAUAAAUUGCGUUUCUGUUUGUAUAAAGUGAGAGAAAAUUGUAUAUACACAUGCAAAUACAUAUAUAUUCGUCCUAUACACUUAUAAUUAUACAAUAAAAUAUUCCCCUGCCCAGUUUAUUGUUUGUAUAAUGUAUAAUUUAUGUUUGUAUAAAGUGAAAGAGAGAGCGAUUUUUGAUAUACAAAUAUUUUUGUCAACGAUUUAUACAAACGAUAAGCUAACAACAAUUUAUACAAAUGACCUGCCAACGAAAUUAUACAAAUCUAAAGAGGAGCCAACGAAUUAUACAAUUGCUUCUUUUUGUAUAUAUGUAUAGUGAAAUAGACAGCUUUCAAUUGUAUAUGUAUAGCGAAUUAUACAUAUAUAUGUUUGCUAUGGAGCGCAAUUAUGCAAACUUUGCUAUAACAUACAAAUAUGAUUUUUUGUUUGCUAUAUGUGAAAGUUGCUCUAUUUUUUUCCAGUUACUUACAGUACCAAAAUAGGCUUUAGUUCAUUCCUGAGAUACAAAAGGAACAUUCUGUUGUAACUUUCAGUACUUUGAAGCCAGUGAUAAAAUGUCAGUAGUAAACAAGUCUUUUUCCAGAAUAGCUGUACAGAACAAAGGAUGGAUAUAUAUAUAUGCCAACAAUUUGCUGCUCCUUCUUUUCCCAUAGCAGCAUCUUGUUUCUUCCUAUACAACCCAUACUCGAUUUUUGUUCAUAAAAUAUGGCGUGAUCUUUCGUGAUUUGCAGCUACAACCUUUUGAGUGACAUCCCUUUCUGCCUUCAAACUAAUUGUUUACUUGUUUGAGAUGUCUUCAUUUUUGAAAUUGUGUAACAAGGGGAACUUUUGAUCUGGAGACGACUCGAGAUCACUAGAAUCAUUAUAUUCAGGCAUCUCUUUAGCUUUUCCCCACAUUACGGUAUAGAAUCCAAUAGCAAUUAUCGUUGCUCCAAGGAUGCUGAUUGUCAAAGAAGAAAGUAGUUAAUUAGAUUAUGAUGACAUACGUAAUUCGUUAAAGAAAAUAAAUGUGUUGUGUGCAGAAUUGGGCACUUGAGUGUUUGUACCUUCCCAAAUAAAGAGUAUCUCCUAAGAAAAUGACUCCCAUGGCAACUGCAAUCGCGAUGGACAAUGGUUUAAACAUUCCUACAUAUACUGGUCCUUUCACGCGCAAAGCCCAGAUGUGAAUUGUAUUAUAUAGGGAUGAACCCAAUAUUCCCUGUGUGAUGCAACACAUAUCAUUUCAUCGUACAUGAACAGACAUAGCAAAAUAUAUAGUAUAAAGAUAUGAAAAAAUCAAACUUAUUUCUCAUUUUAACUUACAGAGCAGAGGAUGGAGGCCAGUGCGAUAUCCGGUUUAAUUAUCCAUUUGUUGGAGUCAGGUUCAGAUAAAAAUCCUACAAUACCAGCUAGGAUGCUAACAGUCAAGUUGUAGAAGAAAACUACCGUCACUUCUGCUGGAUACACCUUCAUAAUCCAUGUCUGUCAUAAAAAACACAAAAACUCUCUAUUCAGGGACUAAGUCUGUGUUGGAAAAAACUUUCCCGCACAUUUAAUCACGAGUCACAAAAUAAAGCGAGAAUAUACAUAUGAAAGAAAAUUGUAUAUAAGACACGUAUUUUGCAUUAAUUUGCUUGUUGUAAACAUUGGGUACGAGUAAAAAGAACACACCUGAACUAUAUACCACAUGGGGACUAAAAAAUACUCAGUUGUGAGGAAAAGGCCACCAAGCAUCCAAUUCGAUUGAGAUGAGCUGAGAGGUUGAUGUUGACGAAGUAAAUUGGGUGUGGACGUGGUAGGCACUAAUAUUUUUGGGCCUUUGUAGAUAGUCACUACGAAUGCUCCAGCUAUGGACACCACCGUGCCCAACACUUUGGCUCGAGUGGUUGAUCUUUUCAACUGUAUCUUCUCCAUCCUGUUUAACAGUUCUACACAUCAAAUUGCUUCUUCUAAAACAUAAAAACCAGAGAGCCACUUUUGAACUUGACACCACAGGUCUAAUUAUGAAAGGUGGCCAACAUCUAAAUACAAUCCACACAUGUGUUUAUUUUGGUAAAUCAGCGUAAAUUGAAUUAGUUAUACCGCAGGCCUGUUUUGAGGUCACGCUUUAAAUUUAGUCCCCGUUAGUCGAAUUGAGAAAGCUUUGCCCUUUUAAGUAGAGUUGGAUGAAUUUUUCUUUUACAUACAAGUUUAAUCCACGGAGCUAAUUACAUCGAUGCAAUUAUAAUAGUGGCCUCGAAGGGUCAUUUAUGCAAAUGGUUCAAUAUUUUUCCCAACCUUUGGCCUACAACUUUUUGUUUUUAAACAAUGGAUCAAAUGGCCUACAUGCUACAACUUAGAUAUCAGUAAUCUUAGUCGAGUUUAUCCUUUUUUUCGGUUGGGAAAAAAUGAUGGAUGCUGACAAAAGAUGUCAACAACUUGACACAAAUUGGAGAUUAAAAAAACCAAUCUAGUUUCAUUAUAGUGGGGACAACAAAAUUAAGAAAAUGACCUGAAAUUAGGAAAUGAGAUUAUUAAAGAGAACCUGAAAAUGACAGCCAAGACGAAAGUAAAAGCAGGGACGAGAUUGCUGAUGGCGGAGGCAAGCGUAGGAGAGGCAUAGAUAAUGCCUAUUUUCCCCAUUAUCUGUGAUGUACACCUGCACUUCCAAUUAUGCACUAUAAUAUACAUUAUGAAAAAGCAAGAAAACAUGAUUAUAUUUUGUUCUUAGACUAUUUUGUUGAAAUUUACUAGAAUGAAACACCAAUGAAUGAUCAUCAAAGCGUAUAGUCUAAAAUGUUACUGGUGUGAGUUGGAUUUCCACUUUACCCCGCAAUAAUUUGCACCGUAUUGCCUUUUUUUAAGUUUAAUCUUUAUAUUCUGUCACUCUCGUUGCAGUAGCUAAAUUUCGCCUUUAAAAUCAAGUGGAUUCAUUUUCCUUUUCACGGACUAACUUAGCCUACUGAAUUAAUGUGGAACAAAUUUAUGUAGUGCCCUCAAAAGAGGUCAUUUGCGCAAAUGCCCAGUCCCAUCUAUGUUAGUAAAUGAAAAAAAAAAAGUUGAGAAAAUAAAAUGUAAAGAAUAGAGAAAGGGACAAAACGUGAGUCAAUUCCCUAAAUGGUCACCCAAGUUUAGGGAAUUGACUUGAAAUAUCAUUUAUGUUUUAUUUAGGACCAAAAUGUCACUUAACUAUCACUAUUUUCCUCUAAAUAUACUUGACACUCCAAAAGCCCCACUCUCUCUUAGUUGGCAUGACAUGUCAUUAAAUUUUUUUUUUAAUAAUAGACUAAUUUAAUUCAUUAAACUCAUUUAACUAAAAUAAUGAUCAUAUUUAAAAAAAAUAUAUAUUAGUUUAUUAAGAAUAAAUUUUCAUACUUAAGAAUCUUUUAUCAUAAUUAAACUUUUUAUUGUUUUAUGUUAUGAAGAAUAGGUUUUUUAAAACGUACUAUAAUAUCACCAAUUUUUAAUACUUAUAAACACAUACAUUCAAAAAAAUAUUGAUAUACAAAUCUGUCAUGAAUGCUAACUUACAUCAAUUAAUCAUAAAUUGUGUAUUGAAUCAAUAAUAUUAAAGGUCAAUUAACUAUUACAACAAUAUUAAUUAUGUGUUUUGAAAUUCAUGCUUACAAUAGUGAAUAAUAUUAUAUUUUUAUCCAAAAAACAAUACUAAAUACCCCAAAAGUCUCCUUCUAUUCUAGUCNNNNNNNNNNNNNNNNNNNNNNNNNNNNNNNNNNNNNNNNNNNNNNNNNNNNNNNNNNNNNNNNNNNNNNNNNNNNNNNNNNNNNNNNNNNNNNNNNNNNNNNNNNNNNNNNNNNNNNNNNNNNNNNNNNNNNNNNNNNNNNNNNNNNNNNNNNNNNNNNNNNNNNNNNNNNNNNNNNNNNNAAUGCUAACUUACAUCAAUUAAUCAUAAAUUGUGUAUUGAAUCAAUAAUAUUAAAGGUCAAUUAACUAUUACAACAAUAUUAAUUAUGUAUUUUGAAAUUCAUGCUUACAAUAGUGAAUAAUAUUAUAUUUUUAUCCAAAAAAAAAUACUAAAUACCUCAAAAGUCUCCUUCUAUUCUUGUUGAUACGCCAUGUCAUUAAAUAAUCAUUUUAAAACUAAUUGACCUAUUUAAUUCAUUAAACCUAUGACUCUACAAAACAAAUAUAUACAUUACAUGAGAAUUUAUGGAGAUUAUGAAUACUUAUAAACACAUACAUUCAAAAAAAAAUUGAUAUACAAAUCACGCAUGAAUGCUAACUUACAUCAGUUAAUCAUAAAUUGUAUAAUGAAUCAAUAAUAUUAAAGGUCAAUUAACUAUUACAAUAAUAUUAAUUGUGUAUUUUGAAAUUCAUGCUUACAAUAUUUUAAAAAAAUAAAAAUAGAAAGUGAAUAAUAUUAUAUUUUUUAUCCAAAAAAUAAUACUAAAUACCUCAAAAGUCUCCUUCUAUUCUUGUUGAUACGCCAUGUCAUUAAUCAUCAUUUUAAAAAAUAAUUGACCUAUUUAAUUCAUUAAACCUAUGACUCUACAAAACAAAUAUAUAAAUUACAUGAGAAUUUAUGGAGAUUAUAAAAAAAAUUAAAAAAUCUAAUUCCUUUANNNNNNNNNNNNNNNNNNNNNNNNNNNNNNNNNNNNNNNNNNNNNNNNNNNNNNNNNNNNNNNNNNNNNNNNNNNNNNNNNNNNNNNNNNNNNNNNNNNNNNNNNNNNNNNNNNNNNNNNNNNNNNNNNNNNNNNNNNNNNNNUAAGUAAAUUAUUUGAAAAUUUUAAGCAAUUUUUUCCAUAAAAGUAUUCAAAUAAAUUUAUAAGGUUGACAAAAAAGUUGGUAUGAAAGAGAAAAUUACUAUUUAACUUUUUUUUUAAUGUAAUUUUUAUUUUUAUUCUUUUAUUCUGUUUUAUAUAUUUUAACUUCUCAUAUAUAUAUAUAUAUACUUAUCUCAUCUCAAAUUUAUGAAAUACAAGUAGUAAUUAAUUGAAUUGCCUAUUUUAAUUCAAUAAUAUACAUAUUAUAUGAGAUUAAUAUACUAAUAUAUAACAUCAAUUUAAUUUUCUAAUAUAAAUAAUAUUCACUUUCUAUUUUCUUUUCAAAAAAGAUAUUGUAAGUGUAUAUGGAUUUCAAAGCACCCAAUUAAUUAUUUUUUAAUAGUUAAUUGACCUUUAAUAUUAUUGAUCCAUUAUAUAAUAUAUGAUUAAUUGAUGUAAGUUGACAUUCAUAAGUGAUUUAUAUCUCAAUAUUUUUUUGAAUAUAUAUGUUUAUAAUUAUUCAAAAUUGAUUAUAUUAUGGUAAGUUUUAAAAAACUAUUCUUCAUCGCAUAAAAAAGUAAAAAUAAUAAUUAUGAUAAAAGAUUUUUUAAGUAUGAAAAUUUAAUAUGAUCAUUAUUUUAGUUAAAUCGGUUUAAUGAAUUGAAUUAGUCUAUUAUUAAAAAAAAGAUUUUAAUGACAUGUCAUGCCAACUAGGAGAGAGUGAGGUUUUUGGAGUGUCAAGUAUAUUUGGAGGAAAUAGUGGUAGUUGAGUGAUAUUUUGGUCCUAAAAUGAAACAUAAAUGAUAUUUCAAGACAAUUCCCUAAACUUGAAUGAUCAUUUAGGGAAUUGACUCGACAAAACGUUACAAAAAUUCUUAUUGAGCUUGUGCCUAGUAAAUUUCCACAUCUGAAACAGAAUUACUAUUGAAGUAUCAAUCAACUUGUACUUUAAUCUCACAUUAUUGAGGUUUGACUUUUUGAUCUCUCUUUAUUGGUUCAGCACUAACUUUAACAAUUGAAUUCUGUCAAAUUAAACUUUGGACACUCCAAAAGUCAGCUCAAUGGAACGAAGAUGGCUAAGAGACCCAUGGUCCUGUCAAAUGGAUCUGACUUUGAUACUAUGUCAAACUAGUUCAAAGGAAAGAAGAUUGUCCAGUGGGAUCAUUCUCAUCAACAAAUUCAAUUGAUUUGCUCAUUUUUAAGACUAACAACAUCCAAUAAUCCUAAUUUUCUCGAAAAUAACCGAACUUUUUUUGGGUUUUUAGCAUAUUGACAGAUUGAGAGUGAAAAAAAACAAGAAAAAGAGUCGAAUUGGUACCCGAUAACUCCAAGAAGAAAGAUUUUGGCGAAAAUUGAGCAAUUGAGAGGUGGAAGUAUUCUUGAUCUGCAGUUAAAUGAUUCCAUUUUUUCAAACCCCCAUCAGAUUCUUGAUCAAAUUUUACAAACAUGCAAUAGAAAAAAAAAACAGAGUAUGUACCUGGCAGAGAAGAAAGGAGAAGGAAGAAGUAGAAGAGCAGCAAGGCAAUGACUAUAAACAACAAAGACAUGAUUACUCAUGCCUUUGUUAGUAGCAGCUUUGUAAAGUGUAUUUAAUCCAACAUUUAUACAUUCCAUAGUCACCAUAGCUGUAAAUGGUAGCACUUCUUUGUAAAAAGUUGUCUCUCUGUUGUUAUUGCUUCCCAUUUUUGCUUCAAGAACUUCAACUUUUGUAUUUCCCAAAUAUCAAUUUCUCCGCGUGGCGGACAUGAGCUCUACCUGAAAAAUCUGAUAUUUAAUCAUACCAGCGUGUGUGUUUAGUAAUACUACUUAUAUAUUAUGGACCAGAAUUAAAGUAACUGUUUUUUCAGCUAAGCUUAUAUUGGAAUUAAAACAACUGUUUUUUUUAGCCAAGUUUAUAUGGAAAUUAAAGUUGAAAUCUUUACACUUUUUUUUAUUCCUAAGGUCCCAUAUUGGAGAUGACAUUUUCUGUUUUUUAUUAUCUUAGAGUAGAGGUUGUGCAAAUUUGGUUAAUUCCUAACCAUCUAUUCAUCAAAAAGUAUGUUAUUUCAUUUUCUAAUCAGACAGCAGCACUUUCAACUUGCAAAAGUUUUUUUCGAAUCAAACCUUCUUCUUUGUACAAUUUGUAAUUAGACCAAGACUAAAUAUUUAAACCUUUCGUUUAUGACUAAAUGUGGUAAACUAUUUAUGAUUGGUCUGAGGAAGUCAUGAUUUAUAUACAUUAGUUGAUGCUAUGGGGAAAUGCGGAAUAAGAAUUGAUUCAUUAUAUCCAUCUAGUUAAUUUUAUCUAUCUAUUAUCGGAGAUUAGAGUCCAAAAUUCUUAUUGAAAUCUAGUUACAUGGUAAGUCUUGAAAUUUUAUAUCCUCGAUUCUCCUUCUUUUUCUUCCAUGUCAAUAUUACUUUAAUGAUGUGCAAGGCUUGAAAUUUUAUAUCUUACUUAUUUAUGUGAAAAUCUACUGGUAUUCGAUUGAAAUUUAAUAAUUGAUGACAUAUCAUUUCACCGAAAGGAAAUUAGUUAGUGCAUAUAAUUGUGAUGUAAUUAAAGAUAGACAAAAAACAUUAGAUGAAUGGGCACGCUAAGUAGUAGUUGUCCUCAUGAGAAAUGAGAGUUACUUGUGGGAGUGAUAAAAAUAUUGUGCUUUGGUGUGAUAAAGGGGCAAUCUACAUAAUUGGUUUCCUUUCAAAUAAACGACAAAAGAGCAAGUGAAGUUUGGAGUAAUAUUGGACCCGAUGUAGAUUUGUGUCGAUGUCGAUCAAACUUAAACACGAAACAUUUAAUUAAACAUUUAUUACUCCACUCUACCCUACCUUUUCGGAUAUAAUUGGCACCCAUUCAACUAAAAAAGACAAGUGAAGUUUGGAGUGGAACGGUAACACUGUGGAAGGUGAAUGGUGACACUAAUUGAUUGUUGACAUUUCGACAAUUUAUGCACUUCCCUUCAAUUAUUGGUACUUUCAGCACUACAAUAAUGCUUUUAAAAAAACAAACAGUGGGAGUGCCUGACAAAUUGUGAAAUUGACCUGCUUCUUUUAUCAAAGAAAAAAGUUGUAAGGAAUUAAAAGAGCUAGAUUAAAAUCUGAAACAAUACUAAUUAAGUAGCUCCGAUAUUCAUAGACAUCUUUAAUCUUAGGUUCAAGUUAAGAUUAUGCUAUGAAAUAUAAUGAUAUCAGUUUAUUUAACUAUAAGGUUAAUUCGUUGGAAGAGUUCUCAUUCAACGUGACCUAACACGAAUAAUUUCACUUCACCACAAUCCAUGUUGGUAAAACAUGAAACUUUGAUAGUAUAAUAUAUAUAUAUAUAUAUAUAUAAGAAAUUAAAGAUGUCUUAUUAAAACAUCAAUAUUAGAAGCUGAAACAGUAGUGCAAGCUGGCUUAUUAGAAAUAGAACAAGGAACCAUAAAUACAAUACAAACUUCAUUCACAAUAGAUGAGAGAUCUACUUGUGAGGAAGACGUAAAUAAAGUGGAAUAGGAUUGUAAGGUUGUGGAGAAGAGUCCCAAACAGAGAAUGCGCUACUGGAAUUCAUCCAUUUUUCAGUCAUUUUUGGGUAAUGACGAUCUAACACAUCUUUCAAACUUUCAGUAGUAUUCACCCAUUCCAAUCCUCUUUUUGUGUAUGUCUCCUCGUUGUAAUUGCUUGUGAAAAAUCUAUCUCCCUCUAGCCUCCUGCUAUGCAUUUUCAAAAUAUAUCAACUUUUAUAACUCAUCAUAUAUAUAUGGAGUAGUACACAUAAAAUUUGUAUAUAUACCAAUUACGUACCUUCCUGCCAUGAAAAGGAAUAUGAAAAAAGCAGUUUCAGAAAUAACAAAGCCCUUGAUCUUUUUCUCCGCCAUGAUUCCGACUAACAAAUCCAAUUCUUCUACAUUAUUAUCACCAUAUACUUCAACAAGUGUUUCAAUAACUUCCUUAUCAUCGCUCAAAUCUUCCCAUUUAGUGAUGGGAAUUUGAAAUAUCCUUCUUCGAAAUUCGUUGUACCUUGCAACACUUCUUUCCCUGUCCCUAUAAACUACGUACCAUCCAAAUAUCAUAAGUGAAUUACUAAUAUUUUAAAUAGUAAUAAAACGAAUAAACUUACUUUCGAGAGCUGGAAGGUCAACAUGAUCUGGUCUGUCAGUUCCAUCAACAUCUUGAGCAACAAGAUCUCUCAUCCACACUGGAUAAUUCCAAAGCUCAAGAGCUCCACAAGAUUGAUGCCCCAUUGAAACCAUUUGAUUAAGAAACCCGAUUUUAGAUAAUUUCUCCGCUCCUUUACCUCCAAUUAAAUCUUCCAUUGGGAUCCUAAUGCAAUAUAUAUGAGUACUUUAAUUUAACAUAUUAUAUAUAAUCAUCUUCAAGUGUGCGCGUAUAUAUAUAAGAGGUUGUUUGAAAUGUGACUUACUCAUUAAUCAAAGGGAGAGACUUGUUUGGUGCAGGUGUUGCAUCUAUAUUUCUCAGCUGAAGAGUAUCAGGUACGAGUUGAUGCAAACGAUAGACACUCGAAAAUUCCUCCGUUAAAGAGUAAGGCACGCCAUGGUUUCUAGGUUUCUUCAUUCCAACAAAACCACUCAACCAAAAAUCUCCUCCAAUGUGUCCAAAUGUAUCCUUAAACUUUUUCCCUAGCAAUCCAUACCUACAAUAUUAAUUAUUUCGUCACAAAACAUGAAAAAGAAUGUCACAUUUUUUUUUCACCUUUUCAUUUUUUAGUCGGUCUCAAGAAGAAUUGUAAUUAGAAAUAAUUUAACUUUAAAAUUCUCCUUUUACCCUUAGUGAAAUAAUUUACAAUCACAUAAGGAUUGUUUUGGACCACAAGUUUCAAAAGUUUUUUUUUUUCUCCUUAAACAUUAUGUGAAGUCAAAUGGUGCCACAUGAAAUGUGACAAAGUAAUUUAUAAGAAUAUUAACCAAGAGAUACGCAUUCCGGCGAGCAAGGUGUCAGUUUUGAGAAGCUCGACAGUCCAAUCUAUGGUGUGAACUUUUGCAAUGACAGCAGAAGUCACCAGCCUAGCAUGACGAUACAGGUCUUCGUCCUUCAACUCUGGAUAUUCUUUCUGGAAAAAUGGAAUAUCAAGAAUCAAGAAAAAACUGGAUUUAGCAACAGAAAAUAUUUUGUAGCUAAACACUAAAAUCCGUUGCUAAUCCUAGAUAAAUUUAAAUUAGCGACGAGCAAUAGUGACGGACCAGCGACGUUGUUUUUUAGUAGUGAAUUCCAUAAUAAUAAUAAUAAUAUAUGAUACGUUAAAAGGUAAUUGCAACUCCCUUCGCCCACUUUUAAUUGUCAUGGUUUCAGUCUAACUAUAAAAACUUUAACUAAUAUUUUAUGAAGUGUUUUUUCACGAGAUGCAAAAAAUUGCAAACUUAUAGUACUUUUCUUAUAGUUUUUUAAUAUCUAAAUUUUUUGUUUAAAAUAUUAAAUUAAGGAAAUCUAUUUAACUUUUGAAAAUUAAUAAAAUUAAUUUUCGAAAAUUGCAACAUAAUAAAUAAAAGUGGACCAAGGAGUAAUUAAUAUGACUAGUUAUUAGUACCUUCAAGGCAUCACAAACAGCAUUGUGCUCUUGAACAAAGAGAGCAUAGAGUGUCAAAAGUCCAGCCCAAGUAUUGCGAACAUCACCAGAGAUGAUUUUUCCAUUUUCAUCUUGUUGGAUGAGUCCAUUUUCUGAUAGUUUCAAUUUUCCGUCUAUAAAUGUUCUUACUUUCUUUAAAUCAUCUGCGUUGUUUCCAUAAAUUGCACUUCCAUCCCUUCAUCAUCAUAUUAUAUUAUACAAAAUACAAGAGAAUUUUAAUAAAUAAUAGAAAAACAUGUCAUCAAAUGUUUUAAUACGCAUAUAUAUACAUUAUACUAAUAUUUCAAUUAGAGCAAAAAUAUAAAAUUAUUGCAGUAUGAAAUAUUUACCACCAAGGGGUACGUCUGUUCAAGUGACCUGUUUUGAUUUCAUCUAAGCCCGUAGGAGUUUCGGUGGACUUGUAAAAUUUAAAAGACUUGAGAGGGCACUGACUUGCAACAUCUUUAGGUGCAUCAAGUUUCAUCUGUGCAUGCACAACAUUAAUAUUACCAACAACAAUAAAAUUUAGUCAAUGGAAGUAAAAUUUAAUUCUCUAAUAUGAUCGAUGGAGCAUAGAAUGAAAUUGAUUCUUGAGUCGCCGAAAAAAUAAUAAAAGUAGCUAGCUAGGCUGACCUGGUUAGUGUCUUCCAUAUGAUCGAUCCAAUCAUGAAUCAUAAAUUGUAUCCAAGAUGCAGCUAUUAUGUUAAGUUGUUUUCCAGUGUCUAUGAAUUUUCUACGUGCUAGUAGCUUCGUUGCUACUACCAUUGGAUCUGGCUUCUUUAACUGCAUGCGCAUUUUUUAUGUUUAUUUUUUUUGGAAUAAAGAAAUUAGUACAAAUUAGGUCUCUUAAUUUUUAAUUAAACUAAAGGUAAUAGAAUUAAUUAAGCAUUACUUAUUACCUUGUUAAGCUGAUGAACAGGCAUCAUAUUCCUCCCAAAGAAGGAAAAUUCACUGCCUGCAUUUUCAUUGAAAGGGUCGUUAUAUUUUCCAUCGGCAGUUCUAUAAGGGUAAUCCCCCGAAUUUCCGGUAUGUGUUGUACCGACGUUGAUCAAAUUAUAUUGCUGGUGAAGACGUCGCCGCGCUCCAAGAUAAGCUAGCCCCAGGAACACCGGCAGCCGGUGCCAAAAGUUCAAUUUAUCAACGAAAUGGACCAUCUGCAUGCAUCUCACAUUAAUUAUUAUAACGAACUUAAAAUAAUAAUAAUAAUGGAAAGAAAUUAAUUGUAAUGUUGAUCACUUCUUUUGAGUCGAAAAUCAGACAUGACGAAUUUGAUAUUUUAAUAAACUUUUAUUAAAGUAGCAAAAGUUUAUCGUACAAGGAUGACUUUGCUUCCUAUCAGUUCAAAAGGUAAAUAUAAUCAGUUUGAGAAUUAGGGUUAAAAAUGAAGAAGAUAAUUAAUCUAAUAAAAGAAUUACCAGAAACAAAAAUUUGUUGAUUAGAGUCAUUUCCUCAAAGACUUCAUGAAAAUCUCUGUGAAUGAAAUUAAGAAGAUGGGAUAGCAAGAGAUUCUCGAGGAAUGACAUAACCAAACACGUUACGUUAUCAAUUUCGUCGUUAAUUAUUUAUACGAUAAUAAAGACAAUUGUAAUAUGAUAUGAUGCUUUUUUGUUUAAUUUGGAGUAUAUAUGAAGAGAACAUCCUCUUUAUAUAAUACUAAUAUAUAGAUACUAUAUAAUUAACAGAAGCAUAAGGCAUUAGACACCUACUUACAAAAAAAAUAAAAAUAAAAAAUAGCACACGUUGGAUGGCUUUGACAAUUUAGACAUUGUAGCCAAACGUAUGUAGCUCAAUAUCAUCUAUGUAUUGAGAAAUGAGUCACUUAACCAUACUGAUUAGUUAGCUAACAGUUCUGAAUAGUUAGUUGAUAAGUGCAAUUAGAUAUAACUAAUUAUGUUACUGUGAUUCUGUUAUUAUGUUGAGCUGGACGCGUAAAUGGAGUUGUUUAUAUUAGAAAGCGUUUUACCAUAAAUUUGUAUUUUCGAAGUGUCAUGGAUGGAAAAUUAUUUAAAGGAGAUUGUUAAAUAAUUAUACUUCUGGCGUGUUCACGUAGGAAUAAUAUGCGAUGUAAUUAUAAUAUGGAUGCCUACUGCUUUGGUUUAACAUUUUGAAAGAUCAAAAUUUCAAGAAACAAAUUAAAACAUAUAUGUACCUUUUUAUAAUUUCAAAUAUAAUAAAUAAUGCACUACCGCUAAUUCUAAACUUCUAGAUAAAGAUAAAUACCUACUUUUUGUUGAAUUAAUCUUCAAGCAUUAUGAUGCAUGGUCCAUGUAAAUAUUUUCCAUACAACAAGCUGGUCCAUAUAUAGGAUAGCUAGUGCGCGCAAGUGUAUGUAUCUCCUCGAACAAUUUAAUAAUAAGACAUCCCAAGAUAUAUAUAUAUAUAUAUAUAUAUAUAUAAUAGGAGUUAAUAUCUCAAAUGAUCAUUAACAGUAAUUUUCACAAAUCAAGAAACAAUAGAUUAUUUUGAUAAAAUAGAGCAAGACACCUUAAAUACAAACUUGUACAUAUUACGGUAUUAAUAAAAAGUUACACACAUGAUUUUGAGGUCUACUACUGAGGAACACGAAAAUAGAGUGGAAUAGGAUUGUGAGGUUCUGGAGAAGAGUCCCAAACAGAAAAUGCACUGUUUGAAUUCAUCCAUUUUUCAGUCAUUUCUGGAUAGUGACGAUCUAACACAUCUUUCAAACCUUCAGUAGUAUUCACCCAUUCCAAUCCUUUCUUUGUAUACGUCUCCUCGUUAUAGUUACUCGUGAAAAAUCUGUCUGCCUCUAACCUCCUGUGAAUUCGUAUAAGUUAGUUACCUGAUUGUGUAAACAAAAUAUUAUAGUAAUGCAUAAAAUUUUCUUGUUUUUAUUUACAAACCUUAUAGCCAUGAGAAGGAAUAUGUUGAACGCAGUUUCUGAAAUGGCAAAUCCUUUAAUCUUUUUCUCCGCCAUGAGUCCCACUAAUAAAUCCAACUCUUCUAUAUCAUCAUCAUAUACUUCACGAAGUGUUUUGAUUGCUUCUUCAUCAUCCGUCAAAUCUUCCCAUUUCGAAAUAGGAAUUUGUAGCAUUCCUCUUCGAAAGUCAUUGUACCUAGCCACACUUCUUUCUCUAUCUCUAUAAACUGCCAUCAAAAUAUAAUUAAUUUAUUGAUUAUUGGAAAAGAUCUAAUUAUUCAACAAAUAAUUAUUAACAAUAAAGCCCUAUAUAUUUUAUUGAUGAUAUUCUGAUUGUACGUAAUAGGAAAAUAAACUUACUUUCAAGGGCUGCAAGGUCAAUAUGAUGUGGCCUAUCAGUUCCAUCAACAUCUUGGGCAAUAAGAUCUCUCAUCCACACUGGAUAAUUCCAAAGCUCAAGAGCUCCACUAGCUUGAUGCCCCAUUGAAACCAUUUGCUUAGUAAACCCAAUUCUUGAUAAAUUCUCUUUUCCUUUACUCCCAACUACUUCUUCCAUCGGAAUUCUACAAUUUUAUGUAUAUAUAAUAUUGAAAUUAUAGUGGAUAAAGUUAAUUUAGUAUUAUAAUAAGUAAAGUUUGUUACGAUGAGAAUUUUGCAUGAGGGCUUACUCAUUAGUCAAAGGGAGAGAUUUGUUUGGUCCAGGCGUGGCAUCUAUAUUUCUUAGCUGAAGUGUAUCAGGUAAGAGUUGAUGCAUUCUAUAAACACACACGAAUUCUUCAGUUAGGGAAUAAGGCACUCCAUGAUUCUCAGGUUUUUUCAUUCCAACAACACCACUUAAAAUGGAGCCAACAUGCCCAAAUGUAUCCUUGAAUUUCUUUCCUAGUAAUCCAUACCUGUCAUACAAAUUAAUUUUAAUUUAAUCACGCGCCAUCGAUAGUAUAGUUGAUAUAUACUUAUAUAGUAUGGUAAUUAAAAUAUCAAAAUAACUAGUGUAAGAGAGAUAAAUAUUAACCAAUUGGCACGCAUUCCAGCAAGCAAAGUAUCGGUUUUGAGAAGCUGAACAGUCCAAUCUAUGGUGUGAACUUUUGCAAUGACAGCUGAAGUGACUAGCCUUGCAUGACGAUACAACUCUUCGUCUUUUAAUUCUGGAUAUUCUUUCUGAAAUAUUGAAAAUCAAAGUUUUUUUUAAAAAAGAUUCAAGAUCGUCCAUAUAUGUUUCAUUUUUCGUGUUAUUAAUAGGUAUUUAUACCUUCAUAAUUAGUACGUACCUUCAAAGUGUCACAAACAGCAUUGUGCUCUUGAACAAAGAGAGCUUGUAGUGUUAAAAGUCCAGCCCAAGUGUUACGAACAUCACCAGAGAUAAUUUUUCCAUUUUCAUCUUGUUGGAUGAGUCCAUUUUCUGAUAAUUUCAGCUUUCCGUCUUUAAAUGUUCUCACUUUCUUCAAAACAUCCUCGUUACUUCCAUAAAUUACACUUCCGUCCCUUCAUGUGAAAAUUCAAAAAUAAUUAUUCCGCACUACUCUAUCUUUCUUUUCUAAAGCAACACCUAUUUUGGACCAGAUAAUAUAAUAAUAAUAAUAAUAAUUUAGUUUGUCUAAAUGAAUUUAUGAUAGAUAUUUAGAGAUCUUACCACCAGGGAGUACGGAUGUUCAAGUGACCUUUUUUGAUUUCAUAAAAAUCUGUAGGAGUUUCCUUGGACUUGUUAAACCUAAAGGACUUGAGAGGGCAUUCAUUAGCAACUUCUUUUGGUGCCCUUAGCUCAACCUGUGCACAAAAUUUUUAGUACCAUCAAAGUAUGUCACAAAUUACAUACUUCCAGAAAAUUACAGUCUAACAUCUUUGGGAUCAUCUAGUUUAUAAAAUACGUACACAAUAUAUCAACUAAAGUGUAUAAGUAAUGUACACUUCGAUGGUCAUGUUAGUGAACUAUAGCUAGGUGACAAUGUACAUUUACGUAAGCUUCCCUAUUAAUUACUCCAUUUUAUUUUUCACAAAUUGAAUGAAAACAUUUCAUUAUCAAAAUGCUUCUUAAAAAGGGCCAAAAAAAUGAAAUUCAAGUAGGCUUACCUGUUGAGUGUCUUCCAAAUGAUCGAUCCAAUCAUGAACCAUAAAUUGUAUCCAAGAGGCAGCUAUCAUGUUGAAUUGUUUUCCUGUGUCUAUGAAUUUUUUUCGUGCUAGAAGCUUCGUUGCUACUACCAUUGGAUCUGGCUUCUUUAACUGCACACAUUUCAUUUUAUUUUUAUUAGAAAAAGUGAAAAGAAUAUGUUUAAAUAAUUUGCCGUCAUUUUGUUACCUAAAAGCUAACCCGUCUAUUAAAAAUAAUACUAAUACGAAAUUUAAUUUCUUUGUCCUUUACUAUCACCUACCUCCUUUAAGAUUUCUUCUUUAAUACUAAUUACUCUCCCCGUCCCAAUUCAAGUAUUUUAUUUUUCUUUUUAGUUUGUUUUGUUACGUAUGGCUUCUCCCUAAUGCGCUGACUUUUUUAGGAUAAAGUUAGGUUUAAAAUUGAUUAUUUUUUUUAUAUGUUGGACCCCUCUUAUUAGAGUCAGACACAUAUCAAUUUAUGAUUUACCGGGUGUCUCAUAUAUAAAUUCAUUUUCUUUACAUGUGCAAUUUUAAUAGCACAAAUUUACAGGACUACAUACAUUUUUAAUUUAAGCCCACAUGAAGAUUCAAAAGUUUUUCCUUGUUUCUUAAUUUUGUAUUAGUCAAACUAAAACACUUGAAUUAAAUCGACGGGAGUAUCAUUGUUUUUGUCUCGUCUAACUUAUUGAUAUAGAAAAUUUACUGCUGAUUUAUGCAAUUAUAUAUAUACCUUAUUAUCCUGAUGAACAGGCAUCAUAUUCCUGCCAAAGAAAGAAAAUUGACUGCCUGCUCCUUCAUUAAAAGGGUCAUUGAAUUUUCCAUCAGCAGUUCUAUAAGGGUAAUCUGCCGGAUUUGAUCGAACGCCGGUAGGUGUUCUACCGACGUUGAUCAAAUUAUAUUGCUGGUGAAGAGUCCGCCGUGCUCCAAGAUAAAGUAGCCCAAAGAACACCGGUAGCCGGUGCCAAAAGUUGUACUUAUCAAUAAAAUGAACAAUCUGCAUGCAUCUCACAUUAUUAGCAACUACGUAGACAAUAAACAAAAAAAAAUAACUAUCGAAUCAGGAUCAACUAGGACAUAAAAUAAAAUAUUUGGUCGAACUCUUCUUUACCAGAAAAAAUAAUUUAUCGAUGAGGGUCAUUUUCUCGAAGAUCUCAUGGAAAUCUUUGUGGAUGAAUUUACGAAGAGGGGAUAGCAAGAGAUUCUUGAGCAUAACAAAAGACAUUGUUUAUACUAGAAAUUAAUAUCACUUGUAAUAUGAUUUUGGAGUAUAUAUGGAGGUAACGUCCCCUCUCUCUCUAUAUAUAGCAAACACAUAAGUAAUAAUAUUAGCAGAAGACAUGCACUAAGAUAAUAUAGCCCAAUUGGGAAUAAAUAAUAGUAGCAUGUUGGAUGGCUUUGACAAUUAUUUUCCAAUUUUAGCCGCCAGCUAAAUGAUAAGAUCUUGUAAAAUUUUGAAAGAAAAAAAAUGUAUAUAUGGUGUGCACGUAUAGAAGACAAUGUAUGAGUCAAAAAGAAAGAGCUGAGAUAGCAUUUUUUAUAUCACGUAUGACGAAUAUACUAAUUGAAAUUCACUCUGCCUUUAGCUCCAGAUUUGCAAUUUAAUAAGUUUUUAGAUGAUUGGUUCAGUAGAUGUGAUUAAAUAGACGGCUUUUGGUAAAAUUAUCUAAUGACAUAUGUAGGAUAUGAAUGUGAUUUCUCUAAUUUUGAUUAGAAAUUUCAGAUCUAAGCCUUUAAAAUUUGAAUCAAUCAAGUUAGCGAGUUUUGGUAGAAGAUAAAGUUUAUAAGCAUAUGGUUCAUCGCAACCCAAUAUUUUUAAUAAGAUUGAUGGGUGGAAGGAGACAAUAAAUUUAGAACGUUAUUUAUACAAAAGAAAUUUCAUUUUCAUUAAGGAAAUUAUUUCUUUUAUUUUUAAGAAGUUUACUUUUUUCUAGAUUUUUUUUUUUCAAAAUCAAAGUGAAAAAUACAGGAAAAUUGAAAGAACAUUUUCUCAAAAAUGUUCUCCUCCCUACCAAACACACCCCAUAAGUGUCGGUCUGUUUGGUCAAACACGUUUCUUUCUAUGAAUAGCUUAGAAGACUUUGAAUGUUCCAUUUUACUUUAAGAGCCUAAUAAAAUAAUUCAAAUCUUAAUUUAUGUAAUUAAAAAAUAUAUUUUAAAUUAUCCUAUUCUUUAGGUAACACAUCAAAAUUUGAGUGGCGGCGAAAUGAUAUUUACUUGAUUAAAAAUUGUGCAAGAGGAUAAAAUAUUGUAAUCAAUUUGCACUUGCUUCAACCUCGAGUUCUUUCCGAUAAUGCUUUUAUACAAAUAUAAUUAAAUUUGACCCUUUUUUAAAAUUAAAACUAAAUUAGUUAUGAUUCAACUUUUAAAAUAUCAAAUCAAAUCACUAGUCAAUUUUUCAAAAAAUCAUAGUUAACUUGAUUUAUUGAUUUUCUUUGUAAAUCCAUCUAUUUAUCGGGAAUAUCAAUCAAAGGAGCAAGAUAUCAUACUUCACUUGUACAACAAUAUCAAAUCUCUCUAAUUUUUUCUUUUAAAGAAAAUAAAAUGCUUUAUGAUAAUGGAAAAAUAGAGAGAAAAUUGGUGUACUUUCUUUUAUUACUAUUAGCUUAAUCUUUCCCCCAAAUCCACUUAGUUUCCAAUCUGCAGGUUACAUUUUUUUUACUCGUUUUAUGUAAAAGUUCGAUGAUGGAUCAAGUAAACAAACGGAUUGGGCCAAUCAAACUGCAGGUUACUAAAAAGUGAAUUUGAUUUUAGGGUUACUUACCAAUAUGUACGGGUAACAAAAAUUCUUUUCAACAAAAUGGACAUGUGUAUGCAAUGUAUCGAAGGGGCAGACCCACCCUUGAAUAAUAAGGGGGGUAAAGAGAUAUUCCUUAUCGAAAAAUUACAUCGUAUAGAAAGUCUAAUUUUAGUUUAAUAAAUAUAUAUAAAUAUUGACAUCUUUUGACACGAGGUAAAUUUUUAGUCUAGUGAUUAAAACAUUGUGAAAAUUAGGGGUGUACAUAACCGGGUUGGUUCGGGUUUUUCAAAUAUCAAAUUAAACUUUUUGUGUCGGAUUUUUAAAUCUAUAAACCAAACCAAUAAAACUCGGGUUUUUCAACCUCGGAUUUUUUCGAGCNNNNNNNNNNNNNNNNNNNNNNNNNNNNNNNNNNNNNNNNNNNNNNNNNNNNNNNNNNNNNNNNNNNNNNNNNNNNNNNNNNNNNNNNNNNNNNNNNNNNNNNNNNNNNNNNNNNNNNNNNNNNNNNNNNNNNNNNNNNNNNNNNNNNNNNNNNNNNNNNNNNNNNNNNNNNNNNNNNNNNNNNNNNNNNNNNNNNNNNNNNNNNNNNNNNNNNNNNNNNNNNNNNNNNNNNNNNNNNNNNNNNNNNNNNNNNNNNNNNNNNNNNNNNNNNNNNNNNNNNNNNNNNNNNNNNNNNNNNNNNNNNNNNNNNNNNNNNNNNNNNNNNNNNNNNNNNNNNNNNNNNNNNNNNNNNNNNNNNNNNNNNNNNNNNNNNNNNNNNNNNNNNNNNNNNNNNNNNNNNNNNNNNNNNNNNNUAUUGUCAUUCUUAGUGUUGAAUUGAUUUUCUUUUUGCAUUAGUAUUAAUUUGAUUUUGAUUUAAGCUUUAUUAUAAUUACCAACAUAUGUAGACUAUAAUCUUUAUUGAACCAUUCAAACUUAAAAUAAUAUAUUAAAAGAUAAAAACUAUGAAAAAGUAUAAGAAAUAUUUAAAAAUUAUAUCAAAGUAAAUAUUUUUAUGUAUAAAAUAAAAUUUUAAAAUUAUAUAUAUAAUGUCGGGUUGGUUUGGUCUCGGGUUAUCUUUUUUUAGUUAAAACCAAACCAACCCAAAUACAGUCUGGUUUUUUUUCCAAUACCAAACCAAUUCAAUCCAACCACCAGUCUUUUUUUUUUCUCGAUUUGCGAUUUGAUUUGAUUUUCGAUUUGAUUUUGUACACUGGUAUCGAUAUUUAUAUAUAAUGCAUGAUAUUGUAUAAAUAGUGUAUAAUCACGUAUACAUAAUGUAUAACUAUGUAUUAAAGAUGGUUUUUUUUAAAAAAUAAUUAAAAGAUGUAUUAGAAAUGUAAAAUAAUUCACUGCGAAACGUCAAUUUCUAAAGGACUCCUCGUCGAGGUUUAAUAAUAAUUUUUUAGUAUAAAUUACAUUAGAACCCAUUGAGAUACAAUCCUAUUAACUAGCAAGGCCCCAAAAUAGGCUUUAGUUCAUUCCUGAGAUACAAAAGGAACAUUCUGUUGUGACUCAGUACUUUGGAGCCAAAUGAUAAAAUGUCAGUAGUAAACAAGUCUUUUUCCAGAAUAGCUGUACAGAACAAAGGAUGGAUAUAUAUAUGCCAACAAUUUGCUGCUCCUUCUUUUCCCAUAGCAGCAUCUUGUUUCUUCCUAUACAACCCCAUACUCGAUUUUUGUUCAUAAAAUAUGGCGUGAUUUGCAGUUACAGCCUUUUGUGUGACAUCCCUUUCUGCCUUCAAACUAAUUGUUUACUUGUUUGAGAUGCCUUCAUUUUUGAAAUUGUGUAACAAUGGGAACUUUUGAUCUGGAGACGACUCGAGAUCACUAGAAUCAUUAUAUUCAGGCAUCUCUUUUGCCUUUCCCCACAUUACCGUAUAGAAUCCAAUAGCAAUUAUCGUUGCUCCAAGGAUGCUGAUUGUCAAAGAAGAAAGUAGAUAAUUAGAUUAUGAUGACAUACGUGUGUAAUUCGUAAAAGAAAAUAAAUGUGUUGUGUGCAGAAUUGGGCACUUGAGUUUGUACCUUCCUAAAUAAAGAGUAUCUCCUAAGAGAAUGACUCCCAUGGCAACUGCAAUCGCGAUGGACAAUGGUUUAAACAUUGCAACAUAUACUGGUCCUUUCACGCGCAAAGCCCAGGUGUGAAUUGUAUUAUUUAGGGAUGAACCCAAU
rnacentral:lncRNA from 1 species